ncrna:unclassified sequences Transposase-1 RNA
CGUUAGGAGGUUACCUCUGUCGUUACCCACCUUGUUGUGGAUACGGGAAUGUAGCUGUUAA